CCUACGGGAUGCAGCAGUGGGGAAUAUUGGACAAUGGGCGCAAGCCUGAUCCAGCCAUGCCGCGUGAGUGAAGAAGGCCUUAGGGUUGUAAAGCUCUUUCACCGGUGAAGAUAAUGACGGUAACCGGAGAAGAAGCCCCGGCUAACUUCGUGCCAGCAGCCGUGGUAAUACGAAGGGGGCUAGCGUUGUUCGGAAUUACUGGGCGUAAAGCGCGCGUAGGCGGAUAGAUAAGUCAGAGGUGAAAUCCCGGGGCUCAACCCCGGAAUUGCCUUUGAUACUGUUUAUCUUGAGUGCAGAAGAGGUAAGUGGAAUUCCGAGUGUAGAGGUGAAAUUCGUAGAUAUUCGGAGGAACACCAGUGGCGAAGGCGGCUUACUGGUCUGCAGCUGACGCUGAGGCGCGAAAGCGUGGGGAGCAAACAGGAUUAGAUACCGUGUAGUC
rnacentral:rRNA from 1 species